GAGCAGUACCCCUAGGAGCCACCAUCACCGAGAGAAGCGAGCAUGCGUAGGUAGCGCCGCCGGGCCUCCGCCGACGUUGAUCCCCGCCUCCACCGUCUUUCGGAGUCUGUUGGGUGGUCAGGGUCGUUCGAUUGGGUGUGCUGAUAGAGUACGGGGAAGUCUCAAGGCGCUCGAGGUCAAGAUUAAACACUAAUCGCUCGUCGGAUUCGGGUGGAUACGGCGAACCUGCGCUGUGCCGCGGAUAACUCCUCUCGGCCUCUCAAUCACCGGUAAAUUCUACCUUCGUCUCUUCGCCCUACUUCGUCCUGCAUCUUGCAC
rnacentral:lncRNA from 7 species